CUGCAAGGCCAAGAAACUGAAGUGCACAUGCCACACGUGCAGUCCAGGAACAGCAAUGCCGGCAUCUCCACACUGCCUCAGCUCUGCCCUGAAGGAACCAUCUCUCAAGGUGAUAGGACAGCUCAGUCUCCAUGGCCCAUUCAUUCUUUGGCCACU
rnacentral:sRNA from 1 species